rnacentral:piRNA from 1 species
CUGGAAGCUCUGUGAAAUUUGAUGCUCUC